GCAAGACUUCAGAGGUAUGCCUUAACUCUGGGGGCUUAUCAGUAUCAGAUACAAUAUCGUCCAAAUGCUCUGCAUUAUAAUGCAGAUGCAUUCUCUAGAAGAUAUUUUAGUGAGGCGAUAACACGAUAACAGCCGGAGAAAUUGCACAGGAGACAGCCAAGGACUCUUUGCUGAGGGAAAUACUUGUUUUUGUACGCAAGGGUUGGCCACUAAAGCCUCCAAUACAUAUAGACUUUGCGGGACCAGUGGAAAAUAAAAUGUAUCUGAUUGUGGUAGACGCACAUUCUAAAUGGCCAUAAGUUCUAUUCAUGUCGCAGACCACUGCAGAAGCUACUGUUAAAGCAUUACAGAAACUAUUUGCAAC